rnacentral:lncRNA from 1 species
CAACAGAUCACAGAAACCUAUGUUAUAGUCAACAUACCUUUUAAUGGAUGUGGUACAAUAAGACAGACUCACACAAGAGAGAGUUUCUGGAAAAAGAUGAUGUACGCAGCCCAUUUGUUCUUGCCACUUUGCUCCUGGCAGGAGUUGUUUUGGUUCUCACUGGGGCCCUUUUGAGAAGUAAACUGAGAAGAGGAACUGAGUACCAAGUGCUGUGAGAGGCAAGGCAUCACGUGAGGUGGCUCAGCCUCGUUCUUCAUGAAUGUAUUCAAUGUCAAACAUUUGCACAGUGAUUUAAUAGAUAACAGUAAAUUAAUAAAGGAAAGUACUUGGCUUUCA